rnacentral:misc_RNA from 1 species
AACGCAUAUGGCGCCUUGUGGGGCAACCCAGAAGGCAUGCCUGUUUGAGAAUCAUUUCAACAUUAAUUUUGAGCUUUCAUCAGUGAUUGCUUGCAAGCAACUCAGUGUUUGCUGUGUACAGGAGCAAUCCCAUGCAGCAACAAUACCUUUUAAUAUGAUCUCAAAUCAGGCAAGACUACCCGCUGAACUUAA